CAGGCCAUACGCUUAGCACCAGACGAACCGUGGUCCAACAUCUGGUGGCCCAAACGCAACUCUGACAGUUUCUACCUAAGCGACCUAAACCGUGGAGUCCUGAACUCAUUGCCCCCCGAAGCACAACAAGGCUUUACCAAUAAUACUCCAGUGCUGGAGCAAUGGGCGGAAGCAUCUGCCAACAUGUGCCCCACCCUCAGCAACCGCACCCUCGCC
rnacentral:lncRNA from 1 species